UACGUAGGGUCCAAGCGUUAUCCGGAAUCACUGGGCGUAAAGCGUGCGUAGGUGGCGCAUUAAGUGAGAUGUGAAAUCGUGUGGCUCAACCAUAUCGACUGUGUCUCAAACUGAUGUGCUAGAGGACGGCAGAGGCAAGUGGAAUUAGUAGUGUAGCAGUGAAAUGCGUAGAUAUUACUAGGAACACCAAUGGCGAAGGCAGCGUGCUGGGCCACUCCUGACACUAAGUCACGAAAGCGUGGGGAGCGAACAGG
rnacentral:rRNA from 1 species